rnacentral:rRNA from 1 species
UACGUAGGGGCAAGCGUUGUCCGGAAUUAUUGGGCGUAAAGAGCGUGUAGGCGGUCCGGUAAGUCGGCUGUGAAAGUCCAGGGCUCAACCCUGGGAUGCCGGUCGAUACUGCCGGACUAGAGUUCGGAAGAGGCGAGUGGAAUUCCCGGUGUAGCGGUGAAAUGCGUAGAGAUCGGGAGGAACACCAGUGGCGAAGGCGGCCAUCUGGAUCAACACUGACGCUGAGGCACGAAAGCGUGGGGGCAAACAGG